CAAUGAAUAAAUAUUUUAUAAAUAGAAGAAAAUAUGUAUUUUAUUAAAUAUUCUAUAAAUAAAAUAAGCAAUUUUUAUGCCCCCAUUGACCAAAAAUUCUGGCUCCACAGCCUAAAAUAGACAGAAAAUUCACUUUGUAAGCUCCCUUAGUCCAAAUAAGGAUAUAUCAAUUUAAUUUUUCAAACAGGAAAUUUUCACGGUUAAAACAUUAUCAUGGGUUUCCAAGGAUUAGAACAUUUCUUGUUUUUUGUUUGUUUUGUGUUUUCUCAACAACAUUUUACAGGCUUCUCUAAUAAUUGCACUUUAUUUACAUAAUUUGCAAUAUUCAUGAGGCACUUUUUUUAUACAUUCAGAUGUACAGGAAUUUAUGUGUUACUUUCUCUUUGACAAUUUUUCCAAAUGCUGUGGAAACUGAUAUUAAUCAAUUCAAGAUACCACAGGAUAGGGAUACCUUAUUUGUGUCUCUUGAAAAAUGGAUAUCUUUAGAAAAGAUUUUAAAUUAAAUAUUUCCCCCCUCUCACUUAGACCAAUACAAUUCUUGAGUUUGAUAUGCCCAAGACCAAAUACAUCUAUAAACCAAUGCAAGUGUAUAUCAAACCACUCACUUUCCAUGUUAAGGACUUUGAAAAUAAAUACCAGAACAUCUAACAAAAGUCAAUUCAAUGUGGAGUGAUGGAAAUUGAAUUAACUGGCCU
rnacentral:misc_RNA from 1 species